CAUGGGAUCGCAAGACCUUGCGCGAAUGGAGCGGCCGAUGGCAGAUUAGGUAGUUGGUGAGGUAAAGGCUCACCAAGCCUUCGAUCUGUAGCUGGUCUGAGAGGACGACCAGCCACACUGGGACUGAGACACGGCCCAGACUCCUACGGGAGGCAGCAGUGGGGAAUUUUGGACAAUGGGCGAAAGCCUGAUCCAGCCAUGCCGCGUGCAGGAUGAAGGCCUUCAGGUUGUAAACUGCUUUUGUACGGAACGAAACGGCCUUUUCUAAUAAAGAGGGCUAAUGACGGUACCGUAAGAAUAAGCACCGGCUAACUACGUGCCAGCAGCCGCGGUAAUACGUAGGGUGCAAGCGUUAAUCGGAAUUACUGGGCGUAAAGCGUGCGCAGGCGGUUAUGUAAGACAGUUGUGAAAUCCCCGGGCUCAACCUGGGAACUGCAUCUGUGACUGCAUAGCUAGAGUACGGUAGAGGGGGUA
rnacentral:rRNA from 1 species